rnacentral:rRNA from 1 species
CCUACGGGAGGCAGCAGUGGGGAAUCUUGCACAAUGGGCGAAACCCUGAUGCAGCAACGCCGCGUGAGUGAAGAAGUACUUCGUUAUGUAAAGCUCUAUCAGCAGGGAAGAAAAUGACGGUACCUGAGUAAGAAGCCCCUGCUAACUACGUGCCAGCAGCCGCGGUAAUACGUAGGGGGCAAGCGUUAUCCGGAUUUACUGGGGGUAAAGGGAGCGUAGACGGCAGUGCAAGUCUGGAGUGAAAGGCGGGGGCUCAACCCCCGGUCUGCUCUGGAAACUGUACGGCUGGAGUGCAGGAGAGGAAAGUGGAAUUCCGAGUGUAGCGGUGAAAUGCGGAGAGAUUAGGAGGAACACCAGUGGCGAAGGCGGCUUACUGGACUGUAACUGACGUUGAUGCGCGAAAGCGUGGGGAGCAAACAGGAUUAGAUACCCUUGUAGUC